UACGAAGGGAGCUAGCGUUGUUCGGAAUCACUGGGCGUAAAGCGCACGUAGGCGGAUUUGUCAGUCAGGGGUGAAAUCCCGGGGCUCAACCUCGGAACUGCCUUUGAUACAGCAAGUCUUGAGUUCGAGAGAGGUGGGUGGAAUUCCUAGUGUAGAGGUGAAAUUCGUAGAUAUUAGGAAGAACACCGGUGGCGAAGGCGGCCCACUGGCUCGAUACUGACGCUGAGGUGCGAAAGCGUGGGGGAGCAAACAGG
rnacentral:rRNA from 1 species